rnacentral:rRNA from 1 species
AAGUAGCUUGCUACUUUUGCCGGCGAGUGGCGAACGGGUGAGUAAUGUAUCGGAACGUGCCCAGUAGCGGGGGAUAACUACGCGAAAGCGUGGCUAAUACCGCAUACGCCCUACGGGGGAAAGGGGGGGAUCUUAGGACCUCUCACUAUUGGAGCGGCCGAUAUCGGAUUAGCUAGUUGGUGGGGUAAAGGCCUACCAAGGCGACGAUCCGUAGCUGGUUUGAGAGGACGACCAGCCACACUGGGACUGAGACACGGCCCAGACUCCUACGGGAGGCAGCAGUGGGGAAUUUUGGACAAUGGGGGAAACCCUGAUCCAGCCAUCCCGCGUGUGCGAUGAAGGCCUUCGGGUUGUAAAGCACUUUUGUCAGGGAAGAAAAGGUUUCGGUUAAUACCUGAAACUGAUGACGGUACCUGAAGAAUAAGCACCGGCUAACUACGUGCCAGCAGCCGCGGUAAUACGUAGGGUGCAAGCGUUAAUCGGAAUUACUGGGCGUAAAGCGUGCGCAGGCGGUUCGGAAAGAAAGAUGUGAAAUCCCAGGGCUCAACCUUGGAACUGCAUUUUUAACUACCGGACUAGAGUAUGUCAGAGGGGGGUGGAAUUCCACGUGUAGCAGUGAAAUGCGUAGAUAUGUGGAGGAACACCGAUGGCGAAGGCAGCCCCCUGGGAUAAUACUGACG